rnacentral:tRNA from 1 species
AUCUUUCUAGUACAAACUCAGUACAAGUGACUUCCAAUCACUUAAUCUUGGUUAAACCCCAAGGAAAGAUA